rnacentral:lncRNA from 1 species
GCCCUUCCCAUCACUGGGGCAAUGAACCUGGCCUCACCACACUGUGUCCUGCUGAGAUGUGUUGUCUGCUCAUUGCUCCUUUCAGAAAAGCCUGCGAGAGAGAGGAAAUGAAACAGAGAUGGAAGGAAAUGCAACCCUGGGCAUGAGUAAUGUGCUCAUUAUUCAUCAUCUACAAUCCAACCUGGAAUCCGUGAAGGCAAACGAGGUGAGAGUCUGUAUCUAAACAUGCCAAACACACCGGGUCUUUCUUUUUGAGUUGUUUAGACGUGAUCACCCA